UGACAGUACUCCUACGGGGAGGCAGCAGUGGGGAAUAUUGCACAAUGGGCGCAAGCCUGAUGCAGCCAUGCCGCGUGUGUGAAGAAGGACCUUCGGGUUGUAAAGCACUUUCAGUCGUGAGGAAGGUAGUGUAGUUAAUAGCUGCAUUAUUUGACGUUAGCGACAGAAGAAGCACCGGCUAACUCCGUGCCAGCAGCCGCGGUAAUACGGAGGGUGCGAGCGUUAAUCGGAAUUACUGGGCGUAAAGCGCAUGCAGGUGGUUUGUUAAGUCAGAUGUGAAAGCCCGGGGCUCAACCUCGGAAUAGCAUUUGAAACUGGCAGACUAGAGUACUGUAGAGGGGGGUAGGAAUUUCAGGUGUAGCGGUGAAAUGCGUAGAGAUCUGAAGGAAUACCGGUGGCGAAGGCGGCCCCCUGGACAGAUACUGACACUCAGAUGCGAAAGCGUGGGGAGCAAACAGGAUUAGAUACCCUGGUAG
rnacentral:rRNA from 1 species